AUCUUUAUGUCUCCAGCUGUCCGGGACAUUAUCAAUAGGUAUUGGUAUCAGCAGUUUCCUCUGGAGACCUUCGUAGUGUUGACUGCUUUGAACCAACCUGGAGCCCAGGUGUUGGCAGCAUCCUGAGAGGUCAGAAAUCUGUGGUCUGUCACAGGUCAUGCAGCUAAGGAAACAAACAAAAAAGGCACCAGGACAUCCACUGAGUUCUAGCUCUGGUCCAAGCACUGAGGAGGCCCUCAACAUUCAAUGAGUUCUUUCAAUGAGUGAAUAAAAAUGGUUGGAAACCUCA